GUGGUGAGACCUGGGUCGGUAUUACUUGCGAUAUAUAUCAACAUCUAAAUCUAGAUUAUAUAAUGCAAGUAUUACCGGGCGAAUGGCUGCAUAUUUCGAUGUAUUUCCAAAAUCAAUUCUUUUUGACAAAUGUGUUUUUUCACUACAUACAAUAAUGUCUGUCAUACAUUCAUUUGAUUGCCAAUUAACAUAUGACAGGGAUGUAACCUAUACGAACUUAUAUAUCGAUGCAAUAAUCAUCUAAUGAAAAUAGUUUUCCUAUUGCGCUUGUUUGUUGUCCAUACCUCUCACUAAUAAACAGAUUCUUGGAACGAAAGUGAGUAAGAGAGUAUUUAUGAGUUUACGAACGAACGAAUUUCUUCUCAUCAUGGAAAUGUUAAACGCGCACGAAUCAUUCUUCGUCAAGAUGUAGUUUGUAACGUCACGUUACUUCCAACGUAUUCACUCUUUUGCGUAGUCUCACUAUGUCGACACGCAUUUUGAAGAACGCGUUUACCCGCUAUGUCAGCACCUUCCAUUUUUUCUUGGCCGUCUUCACUUGGCAAGUUACAAACAAGAACGAGAGUUGCGAAGAAGAAGGAAAACCAGAAGAAGAAAUAAAAGUUACGAAAAAAAUGAGUCAGCGAUGUUGAGUUUUCUUCGAUCGCACUACGCCCGAGAAUGCAAAUCAUGUUCCACUGUGGAUAGAUAUAGAUUCUGUUUCUCGGGUAUUCUCGGGAAAGCUUGCACAGAUGUACCUUAUGCAUCUUGGAAAGUGUAAGGUAUUUUCUUCGGGUUUCUUCGAUGAAAUGUUUCAUUGGAUUUUCAGUUUAAUAAUUAUCUUUAAUAAAAAUACCAUUUGACGUUU